AGUCGAGCGGAGAUGAGGUGCUUGCACCUUAUCUUAGCGGCGGAUGGGUGAGUAAUGCUUAGGAAUCUGCCUAUUAGUGGGGGACAACAUUCCGAAAGGAAUGCUAAUACCGCAUACGUCCUACGGGAGAAAGCAAGGGAUCUUCGGACCUUGCGCUAAUAGAUGAGCCUAAGUCGGAUUAGCUAGUUGGUGGGGUAAAGGCCUACCAAGGCGACGAUCUGUAGCGGGUCUGACAGGAUGAUCCGCCACACUGGGACUGAGACACGGCCCAUACUCCUACGGGAGGCAGCAGUGGGGAAUAUUGCACAAUGGGGGAAACCCUGAUCCAGCCAUGCCGCGUGUGUGAAGAAGGCCUUAUGGUUGUAAAGCACUUUAAGCGAGGAGGAGGCUACUGACACUAAUACUCUUGGAUAGUGGACGUUACUCGCAGAAUAAGCACCGGCUAACUCUGUGCCCGCAUCCGCGGUAAUACAGAGGGUGCGAGCGUUAAUCGGAUUUACUGGGCGUAAAGCGUGCGUACGCGGUUUUUUAAGUCAGAUGUGAAAUCCCCGAGCUUAACUUGGGAAUUGCAUUCCAUACUGGGAAGCUAGAGUAUGGGAGAGGAUGGUAGAAUUCCCGGGUGUAUCCGAGAAAUACGUGGAGAUCCGGGGGGAAUCCCGAAGGAUAAGUCACCCAGUUUGGCCUAAUCCCUGACGCUGAUGUAC
rnacentral:rRNA from 1 species